rnacentral:lncRNA from 1 species
CGUUUUGCAGCACGGCAGCUAUCUGUAUCCACUAUUCUUUCAUAUAUAUAUUUGCUCACCUUAGUUCAUAGUGAUGCAGUUACAAUAUAUGUAGAGACUCCAUGAUGCCAUUGGAAAACAGUAGACUGAUCCACACAUUGCCACUAUGGCCACUAUGGCAUGCACUAAACAGAAACAAAAAUGCACUUAAUUAGUACCAUAUAUAUACUUUAUGACAAGCUUAUUCUCAAUAGAAAUUCUUUGGUUCUUUAUUAAUUCUUGGUGGAUUUUGCUUAGCAGACUGCAGGUAAGGAUCAUUUCCUUGGUGGUUUUUGUAUAUUCCUUGGUAUUUUUUGGACACC